ensembl:snoRNA SNORD115 Small nucleolar RNA SNORD115
CAUUAUAGAAAUAUAUAAAAGAUUCUCUGAAGAGAGGUGAUGACUUAAAAAUCAUGCUCAAUAGGAUUACGCUGAG